CUUCAAUAUAAGAUUGUCACCUCUAGUGGCAUGCCAACAAAAUUCCCCCUAGACAAUCAACAUAAAGCUCAGGAACAGAAGCCAAUUAACAAAGCAAACCAGCCAUGAUUUCUAACAUUGAAAAUCAGUAUAAAUCUUCAAUUAUUCCAUUAGUGAAACAAACAGCACAUCAGGUCCUUUGGUCUCUUUCCCAUUCCCUUCAUUCACAGAACCUUGUUUCUCUUUUUCCCCCACCUCUUUUUCAUUUGAAUCCUUCCUUCUUGUAGAAAAUUAUUCUGGGCAAAUACAUUUUUUUUCCAUUGUAUGAAGUACACAAAAAUUGUUUUGGAUUCAUAAAAAUUAAUGUACAUUGUCAUUCUUGACAAAUUAUGGUGGAUUAUGACCCCCCCAAAAAAAAAUAG